CGAAAACAUUCUGCGUUGACUGAACUAGUUGCGGCUACGAGACUGCAGAAUCAUCAUGCGUUUCUCUAACUUGCUGUUUAUUGGUAUUGUGACAUUAGGAACAUCUGAAUUCUGCUCCGCAGGACCUCUACACGCACAGUGCAAAGUCGAGUGGUAUUUCAGUCUCCCUUGCAGGAGUGUGUAUGAAGCUCUGGUCACACAGAUUAAAAAGUGGAGGACAGUCUCGACCUGUGCCAUGGGAGGAGAGAAGUGUCUCUACAAGUUGCAGUCUGCAUCUGUGCACUUCAUAUCAGCCAAACACACAACGCCAGUCAAAAGAUAUGUUGAUGACAUCAACUUCAGACUCGUCUCCUAUGGAUUCUUUACACAUUGCCAUGUAUCUGCCAUGUCAGUGUCAGAGACCUGGUAUGCUGUCACAGAUCAUGGCACCAACUAUUGUAACCUCUACAACUUAAUGGAAGGCAGUGGUCUUACUGAAGCUCCAGGAUAUAAAGAAAUCACCAGUGACUUCCUGUGCACUCAACGCUCAUCUGCUAACUGUACCGUCUACUAGCACUGAAACAUGUUCAUACUUUUUUUUAUAUCGAAAUUGGACUUUUGUGGCUUUUACACUCUAAAAAAUAAAGGUUCAAUGGUUUUUUAUACAGAACACUGGGGUUCUUGACUCAAUUUUAAAGAACCCCUAUGCCAAAAAGGAGAAAUUAAAACAAAAUUCAUUAAAACUAAAUCCAUAAAAUUAUCCCAUUAUGGGAACCCCUAAAGAUUAUAUAUGAAGCGCUGACAGAACCCUUUAAGGUUCCGAACCGCUCUAUAUAGAACCAUGUCUUAAGAGUGUAGUCAUGAUUUUUAGGUUUGAGGCCAUCUGUAAUCUCCCUUCAAUUUACAAAAUAAACUUUAAACCAACAUACAUAUUUAAAAAUUACAGUCUCUUGCUGGGAAUAUGGACUAAAACUAUUAAUGGCUUGUGGCAAGGGUGUACCGAUAAAAUGUCAGUAAGAUUUUUUUUUUUUUUUUUUUGGAAAGAAAUUAAUACUUUAAUUUAGCAAGGAUGCA